rnacentral:rRNA from 1 species
CGCCCAAGGUAAGCCGGGAGCUAAGGCGAGGCCGAAAGGCGUAGUCGAUGCACACACGGUAGAAAUUCCGUGGCCGCCGAAAGUGUUAAGCACAGGGACACAUAGAGAUAGCCGGACCGGGGCGUUGGUUGACCCCGCUGAAAGGGCCCGUAAAUGAUCGGGGAGUCGGCGAUGCUCUGUGGCGAGAAAAGCUGUGUGAAUUACUUAGGCGCCCGUACCGCAAACCGACACAGGUAGAUGAGGAGAGAAUCCUAAGGCCAACGGGAGAAGGGUUGUUAAGGAACUCGGCAAAUUGACCCCGUAACUUCGGGAUAAGGGGAGCCGGCCACGGCCGGCCGCAGUGAAUAGGCCCAAGCAACUGUUUACCAAAAACACAGGUCUCUGCUAAAUCGAAAGAUGACGUAUAGGGGCUGACGCCUGCCCGGUGCCGGAAGGUUAAGAGGAGAGCUUAGCGCAAGCGAAGGUUUGAAUUGAAGCCCCGGUAAACGGCGGCCGUAACAAUAACGGUCCUAAGGUAGCGAAAUUCCUUGUCAGGUAAGUUCUGACCCGCACGAAUGGCGUAAUGAUUUGGGCACUGUCUCAACAGCCCGCCCGGCGAAAUUGUAGUACUGGUGAAGAUGCCAGUUACCCGCAACUAGACGGAAAGACCCCAUGGAGCUUUACUGUAGCUUAAUACUGAAGAUCGGUAAUGCAUGUACAGGAUAGGUGGGAGCCUAUGAAACCGGGCCGUCAGGUUCGGCGGAGGCAACCUUGGAAUACCACCCUUGUAUUGCUGGUUUUCUAACCUGCGGCCGUGAAUCCGGUCGGGGGACACUGUUAGGCGGGCAGUUUGACUGGGGCGGUCGCCUCCAAAAGAGUAACGGAGGCGCUCAAAGGUUGGCUCAGCACGGACGGAAAUCGUGCACAGAGUGCAAACGCAUAAGCCAACUUGACUGCGAGACCGACGGGUCGAGCAGGUACGAAAGUAGGAGUUAGUGAUCCGGUGGUAUGUGAGUGGAAAUGCCAUCGCUCAACGGAUAAAAGCUAACCUGGGAUAACAGGCUGAUCUCCCCCAAGCGUCCACAGCGACGGGGAGGUUUGGCACCUCGAUGUCGGCUCGUCACAUCCUGGGGCUGAAUUCGGUCCCAAGGGUUCGGCUGUUCGCCGAUUAAAGUGGCACGCGAGCUGGGUUCAGAACGUCGUGAGACAGUUCGGUCCCUAUCUGUUGCGGGCGCAGGGGAUUUGAAGGGAGCUGUCCUUAGUACGAGAGGACCGGGAUGGACUGACCUCUGGUGCACCAGUUGUCGUGCCAACGGCACAGCUGGGUAGCUAUGUCGGGACGAGAUAAACGCUGAAGGCAUCUAAGCGUGAAACUCCCCCUAAGAUAAGAUCUCCCAUCCUUUAUGGAGUAAGGGUCCAUGUAGACUACAUGGUUGAUAGGCCGGCGGUGUAAGCGCAGUAAUGUGUUCAGCCUACCGGUACUAAUAGCCCGAGGGCUUGACC